rnacentral:tRNA from 1 species
AGUUCUCAUAGUUGAAUUACAACGGUGGUUUUUCAUAUCAUUGGUCAUGGUUAGAUCUCAUGUGAGAAUUA